UGCAGAAGUAAAAUAAUUUAAAAAUAGAAAUAAGGCAAUAACAGUGUUUAAAUGUGCCACUCGGCGUACACCAUAUAUAUAAAUCUAAAAACCAAUAUCCAAAUCCAAGACCCGGAAACCCACGAAUCACAAGCUAAGAAAAAGAAAUACUACAUAGCUCUAACUCCGAAAUUGUCUAAUAAGAAUAGAAAGUACAGAAUGGCUAAAUACUAGAAAGCAUGAACAGAAAGGGACUCCUUGGUCUGCAGACGUGGGAAAUGUACCUCGAAGUCUCUAAGUAGUCGUCUCCCUCAAGGAUAGUAGGCCUGAGUAGAAGUACCUGGAUCUGCACAUGAAAAAUAUGCACAAAAGAGGCAUGAGUACACCAUAGCGGUACUCAGUAAGUGUCAAGCCUAACCUCGGUUGGGUAGUGACGAGGAAGGUCAGGGCGCUACUGAGAUUAAAUACAAUAUAAGGGUUAACAGUGUGGAAUAAAACAAUAUAAAUAAGUGCAAUAGUAAGAAAUAGCAUAGAAUUGACAGAACAACAACAAUUGGAAUAAAGACAAAACAAGCCACGGAAAGAAAUACAGCUCAACACAGAGAUAACAAUCGGGGCACCUUCUAGGAUACCGUCCUGUAGUCCCAAUUACAACUGUCCAGUAGAUCUCCCGGGAUACCGUCCCGUAGUCCAUCAUAUAUAUGUCCGAAGGAUUUCUCGGGAUCUCGUCCCGUAGUCCAACUAUCAAUGCGCGAGGAUCUACCGGAAUCCCGAUUGGUAGUCCUAAAUGUAAUUACCCAGUACUGGGGGAAUCUACCGGGUGCAUUCCCAUAGUUCCAUAUAACUGUACAGGGCGAUCUAUCGGGAAUCUAACCUGCAGUCCCAAAGUAAAUGUGUAGGGGGGUCUAUCGGGAAUCUAACAUAUAGUCCCAAAGUAAACAGACAAGGGGGAGCUACCGGAAUCCCACAUCCGUAGUCCCAAUGUAAAUACACAGCAGCAGCAAGAAGAUAUACAGAAAUGGCAAAUUUUCAUAUUAAGGCAAUAAGUGAUUCUAGCCUAGCAUGCUGCACAGAAUUCAAGUAAGGCAGGUUGAAUCAAAUAAAGCAAUUAAGUCACUUAGACAUGCUUUCCUAACCUAACAAUAGGCUUAAUAGUGCAAGUAAUAGAAACAGGAUAGGAAACAUGCUAGUAUUUACUUAAAGAAAAUCGGAUUUCCAACAAUUAGCACAAGUACGCACUCGUCGCCUCACGUACAAGGCAUUUCAAUUACCAAACAUACCAAUCCUAAGGGGAAGGUCCCCCCCCCCCCACAAGGUUAGACAAGCCACUUACCUCGAACCAGCUCAAAGUCAACCCGAAACCACUCUCUUGCCACGAGUACUCGACUCCAAAUGACCCAAAUCUAUUCAAUUCAAUCGCAUAACGUAAAUAACACUUCAAGCAACUGAUUCUACAAUUAAAUUCUAAGCUAAAACGUAAAAUUAUGUAAAAUGACCAAAAUGCCCCUCGGCCCACGUCUCGGAAUUGGGUAAAAUUUAUAGUUUCAGAAUCCUCACACUCUUACGAGUUUAAAAAUUGUCCAAAUCCGAUUUCAAAUCCCCAAUCAAAACACAAUUCUUUGCCUAAGAACUUUUCCCCAAAUUUUCAUACAAAUUUCAAAAUUAAAGGAUGAAUUCAUGUUUAAAAUAAUGGGUUACAAGCAAAAAUGAGUUAAGAAUCGUUACUCAAUCGAUAUCUUUGAAAAUACCUCAAAAUCUCGCUCAAAUCCGAGCUCCCAAGCUUAAGUUUUGAUAAAAAUGGAUAAAGCCCUCGAUUUUGAAAUCUUAUAUCUGCCCAGAAAAUUCCUUCUUCGCGAACGCGGUCAAAGCCUCGCGUUCACGAAGCAUAAAAUAACUUUGACCAUUUUUCCUUCUUCGCGAACGCGUCUCUCACUCCGCGAACGCGAUGCCUUGCACAGACGAACCUUCGCGAACGUGAUGCACAAAACUCCACUGGGCCAUUUCCUCUUCUGUGAACGCGAAGCCCAAUCACGAACACAUAACACAACCAUCCAGCCUAUUCGCGAAUGCGGAGGCCCUCUCGCGAACGUUAAGGCCAAACUUUUCCCCCAGUCCCAUCUCCUCUUCGCGAACGCGAGAACCCACUCACAAACGUGAUGAAGGAAACCAGAACUGAUUGCUACAACAUUUUUUGCAAUUUCCUAAGUUCCAAAAAUGAUUCGUUGAGCAUCCGAAACACACUCGAGGCCCCCGGGACCUCAACCAAACCUGCCAACCAAUCCUAAAAUAUCAUUCAAACUUGUUCCAACCUUUGGAACGCUCAAAACAACAUCAAAAUGCCUAUUUUUCAUCGGAUUUAAGCUUAAAAUUCCAAAAACUCUAAAAACACACUUUCGAUCAAAAAGUCUACCAAACCUCGUCCGAAUAACCUGAAAUUUUGCAAACACAUCCCAAAUGAUAUGACAGAACUACUGCAACUCUUGGAAUUCCAUUCCGACCCUCGGAUCAAAAUCUCCCUAUCGAACCGGAACUUCAAAAAUUCAACUUCUGGCAUUUCAAGCCUAAAUUAGCUACAGACCUCCAAAACACACUCCGAACACGCUCCUAACCCUGAAAUCACCCAACGGAGCUAACAGAACCAUCGGAUUUCCAUUCCGAGUCCGUAUUCACACAGUUCCGACUACGGUCAACUAUCCAGCACUUAAGCUCUCAUUUAGGGACUAAGUGUCCCAAAACUCUCCGAAACUCAAAAUCGACCAUCACGGCAAAUCAAAAUAGCAGAAAUAAACUUGGGAAAAGCAGUUAAUAGGGGAUCAGGGCGUUAAUUCUUAAGACGACCGGCCAGGUUGUCACAAAUCCGGGUAAGGAAUUCUGUUAACCCGGGAGAAGGUGUUAGGCAUUCCCGAAUUCCGUGGUUUUAUUACGGUCGCUCAACUAUUGUUAUUGGCCUAAUUAUCUGAGUAAUUACAUAUUUUAUACCUAUUGUGUAUUUUUAAACUUUGACCGCUUUUAAUUAUUUAUGAAAGUAUUCUGGAACAAGUUACGAUUGUCGUACACUUGUUGGUUUGGUACACAUUGUGAAUCGUGUCACGGGAACCGUAUCCAUGAUCUACAACAUAUUUAAUUUAUUAACAUUAUUAGAAGUUAUGGCUGUGUCACAUGAAAUAUGCACCCGGAUUUGGAAAUUACGUAUCAUAACCAUGUCGCAAAAACCGUACUCAUAGUCACGAUAAUUCAUUAUUACUAAUCGCGCCUAAAGCAAGCUACGAUAUUCACAAGUUACUUUCCUAAACUACUUUAAGAUUAGGGUGAGGCUACGAAUUAAGAAUAUAAAAUAUAGAAAAAUGGGUCAACUUAACAGAACACCAAAUCCAUAAGAUUUAAUUGAAAAACAAUCGGCCCCAAAUUCCAUUCACAUCUUCAUUUUUGUAAAUUGUUCAAAUCUGAUCCCCACAUCAUUAGUGAACAGUGUUAAACUGGCUACUUUACAAUCGGACCUAAUAUUGAAAGGAUAUUCUUUUAACGUCAGCUCAAACUCCUUCUCACAACAAAGCAAGCUAAAGGAAAUAAGUCCCAAGUUUCCAAAGGGGAUCACAAACAUAGAACAGAAGCAACAAUAGUUUAAGAGCACUGAAACGAUCACUAAACCAAACAAAACUUCAAUUAUUCAUAAUACCUAAUCAUUCACAAUAAUUAUUCACAUGAAAAAUACCUAACUUCAAUUAUUCACAUAAUACCUAACUUCAAUUAUUCACAUCAAAACACCUAAUCAUUCAUAAUAAAUAAACAGUACCAACUCAAAUCAUGAAAAAUUAUAUAACACAUGAAGCAUUCAUAACACCUAAUCACGUAGAAUAAACAAACAACUCAAUAAUCAAUCCCAAGAAUCAACAAGCAUAUAACGUCAAUGAAAUAAGGAAGCAAUGUCGAGAAAUGGACCUUUCAAUAGCUAAAUAUUCUUCAACUCAACAAGAACAGAUAUCUGCUGGACUUUUACGUGAAGUAACCACAACCGAAAAUGACACCUAGAACUUCGACGGAGCUUUGAACCUCGACUAAAACUCUUGUAUUUUCGGUCGUGUUUGGAGAGCUUUUGGAGGUUGUUUGGCUGUAUUUUAGAACUGUUUUGUUGUGGCUUCAGGUGGUGUUUUUGUGGAGUUGAGACGGCGAUGGAGGUGAAGGAGGAAGUCUGGUUCGUGGUUGUUCCAGCGAGCUGAGUCGAGGAUGAUGAAGAAGAAAGUCGUUGCUGCCGAUUUUCAGAAAUGGAGUCUCAUUUUUAUUGUGUGUGUUGUGUAUGUGUUAGUUGUUGUUCGUUUUCUGGCGAGAUCGAAGGUUGAAAAAGAAUGACGUAGGGGGGGUGGUCUCUUGGGUUCCGCGGCUGCUUCAAGACUAAGGUUCUAGGUCUGUUCAUUUUUUUUUGAAAGAGAAGAUGAAACUUCUCUUCCGAUGGAAACGGCUGGCCUUUCUGUUUUCGCCCUUUUUUUAGGUUGUCCCUAGAGUUAAGUCAAGGUGUUAGUCUUUUUUUAGGUUAUUUUUCAUUGGUACUCCCUCCGUUUUAUAAUAAAUGAGGUACUUUCCUUUUUAGUCUGUUCCAAAACAAAUGAUGCAUUUCUAAAUUUGGAAAUAAUUCAACUUUAAACUCUUUCAUUUUACCAUUUACCCUUAAUGAAAAACUUUUAUAGUCACAUAAAUGUCAUGGCCCCAUAAACCUUUUACACCUUAAGCUUUUAAGACCACAAGUUUCAAAAGCCUUCUUAUUUUUUCUUAAACUCCGUACCGAGUCAAACUACCUCAUAUAAUAUGAAACAGAGGGAGUAUAUAAGAGAGGAAAGGGUAAAUGGGCUUGGACUUAGGAAAUUGGGUUGGACCAUGUCUUUUGGGUUUGAAUUUAGGCUAAGGAGACCAAAUAAUAUAAUGUAUCUAUAAAGUGUAAAAAUCAACCUUAAUUAAAAUAAACUAAUAUAAAACUAAAUACUAAAAGUGAAACUAAUUUUUGUAUUUUCAAAUGUUAUAAUAAAGUAAAAAAUAGGAAGAAUAGGCUACAGCCAAGGUAAAAUUAAAGUACUAUAAAUUUAAAUAUACUAAUUGACUUUAAACUAAAGAUGAAAAAUAUUUUUUGUAAUUUUUAUUUUUUAAUGAUAAAAUAAAGUAAAAGAGUCAAGACUAUUUAAAAUAACGAUAUUAAACCUAAACUUAACAUUUAAACGCUAAAAAUAUAUAAAAUCUCGGGGAGGGUUAAAAAUUACAUGUUUACACUUUCCUAAUAGCUUGAUCUCCAUCGCACGACUCCAUGUGGAAUAGUUUUCUGAACCAGUCAAUUAAAUUGAGAUGAUUGGAGGUGUCCGAUGACUGAAGAAACAAUGGUUGAGAUCAGCUUUCGCCGCCAUUGAGAUUGCUGUGAAUUUAAAUAGGACAACGAUUUCAACUCGCAAUCACGUUUUUACUGCUAUGAUAUCAUGAUGAAACUUGAAUGAAUCAAUAAUGGAGACCCUAAUCUGAUAAUGCCAUAACUGAACUUGAGAGAGAAGAGAAGAAGUAGAGUAUUGUAUUGAGAGAAAAAAUGAAAAUGUGUACUGUUACAUGGAGCUAACAAUACAUAUAUAGAAAGCUCACUUCCACUAACCACCUAACUAACAUUCCACGUGUUCACAUAUUUACUACUAACUAACUGAAAUAAUAAGCUCCUACUAUUGCAUACUAAUGCUUCGUGUAAUUCUCAUUUUAUCACAUCUCCUCGUAAGCUCGUCUAUUAAGCAUACUAGUUCAACAAGUUUGAGAUUUCACCUGAGAUCAGUCCCAUAUAGGAUCACAUAUUUGCUUGUUUGUUAAUUUAAAUUCACACAUAUUUGGACCCCAUGCGUUACAAAUUAUUAGGAUUAUAA
rnacentral:lncRNA from 1 species